UUUGUAUAAAAGCUCGAGCGCACUUUGGAAAAAGCAUCAAACAGUUUUUACUUUUGUGCAACAAACUCAACCGCAAAAAUGUUCAACCUUUUCAAAGUGCUCGUCGUGAUCGCCGCUUUGGUGUGCAUCGCUGCUGCCAAUCCAAGCAUCGUGGGACCCGGCCUCGUCCACGGUCUUGGAGCUGUAGCUGUGGGACCAAUCGGACCAGUCGGCCCAAUUGUAGGUGUAGGUCAUGGUCUGGGUCAUGGUGGCGUUCAUGGCCACCCUUGGUAAAAUUACUACUUCUAAACUACACUAAUUGGACUGCCAACAUUCCCCACUGGACGACUCCCAUUGCAGACUUACUCAUCGUUUUUUUUCGCACCCCACAUCACUUAUGGAACCACGAAUGUUAGGAAUUUCGCAACUUUAGUAUAUCUUUGUGUCUCGUUCGUUGCAUUGUUGCGUACUUUUUUAUCAAAUUUUUUGUAAAAAUGUAUUUUUAUUUUAGUUUGAUUUGAAUAAAUAUAUAAUAAACUGACAGCAAA